rnacentral:tRNA from 1 species
GGGAUAGCUCAGUGGCACAGCACCUGCCUAGCAAGCAUGAGGUCCUAAGUUCAAUUCCUAGUACCCA